rnacentral:misc_RNA from 1 species
AACGCACAUUGCGCCCGCCGGUAUUCCGGCGGGCAUGCCUGUUCGAGCGUCAUUUCAACCCUCAGGCCUCGCCUGGUGUUGGGGCUCCUGCGCACCGCAGGCCCUCAAAGGCAGCGGCGGGUGCGCCUACGAACCGAACGCAGUAGUUUUCUCUCGUUCUGGUGCCGCGGGCGCGCUCCGGCCGUUAAACUCCUUAUACUUUUAAUGGUUGACCUCGGAUCAGGUAGGAAUACCCGCUGAACUUAA